rnacentral:rRNA from 1 species
ACGGGUGAGUAACGCCUAGGAAUCUGCCUGGUAGUGGGGGAUAACGUUCGGAAACGAACGCUAAUACCGCAUACGUCCUACGGGAGAAAGCAGGGGACCUUCGGGCCUUGCGCUAUCAGAUGAGCCUAGGUCGGAUUAGCUAGUUGGUGAGGUAAUGGCUCACCAAGGCGACGAUCCGUAACUGGUCUGAGAGGAUGAUCAGUCACACUGGAACUGAGACACGGUCCAGACUCCUACGGGAGGCAGCAGUGGGGAAUAUUGGACAAUGGGCGAAAGCCUGAUCCAGCCAUGCCGCGUGUGUGAAGAAGGUCUUCGGAUUGUAAAGCACUUUAAGUUGGGAGGAAGGGCAGUUACCUAAUACGUGAUUGUUUUGACGUUACCGACAGAAUAAGCACCGGCUAACUCUGUGCCAGCAGCCGCGGUAAUACAGAGGGUGCAAGCGUUAAUCGGAAUUACUGGGCGUAAAGCGCGCGUAGGUGGUUUGUUAAGUUGGAUGUGAAAUCCCCGGGCUCAACCUGGGAACUGCAUUCAAAACUGACUGACUAGAGUAUGGUAGAGGGUGGUGGAAUUUCCUGUGUAGCGG